AUGAGACCACAUUGUUCGCAUUGAGGUAAUUGACUCGCAAACAAUUUGUAUUGUGUAUACGGAAUGAUUUGUUUAGGUCUAGAAUGUUUUUGCCGCCUAAAUUUUGAAAUGUCAGCCUGAUUAUCAUUGUGACCGAAUUGAUUCACAGAUUAUCAUAAAGAAUGCAUCUCUACAAUUUGACAUUACAACGUGCCACUCAUAUUUCUUUGGCUGUUCAUGGAAACUUUGCCGGCACUAAACAGCAAGAAAUUGCUUUGGCCAAAGGCCGAAUACUGGAACUUGUACGUCCAGAUCCUAGUACUGGUAAAGUAUAUUCACUUCUAUCCAUUGACAUUUUCGGUGUCAUUCGUUCGAUGAUUGCUUUUCGUUUGACUGGUGGUUCAAAAGAUUAUUUGCUCGUCGGUUCUGAUUCAGGCCGUAUUGUCAUUCUUGAAUACAUUCCGGCAAAAAAUUGUUUCGAUAAGGUUCAUCAAGAAACAUUUGGUAAAAGUGGCUGUCGCCGUAUUGUUCCUGGUCAAUAUUUAGCUAUUGAUCCAAAAGGUCGUGCAGUCAUGAUAAGUGCUGUUGAAAAGCAAAAGUUAGUAUACAUUCUUAAUCGAGAUGCCACGGCUCGACUUACAAUUUCUUCACCUCUUGAAGCUCAUAAAUCUAACACAUUCGUUUAUCAUACUGUUGGCGUGGAUGUUGGAUUUGAAAAUCCAAUGUUUGCUUGUCUUGAAAUGGAUUAUGAAGAUGUUGAUAUUGAUCAUACGGGAGAAACAGCACAACAAACACAACAACAAUUAACAUUUUAUGAACUUGAUCUUGGUCUCAAUCAUGUUGUUAGAAAAUAUAGUGAAAAUCUUGAAGAACAUGGAAAUUUUCUCAUAUCUGUACCGGGUGGAACUGAUGGGCCAUCAGGUGUAUUAAUCUGUUCGGAAAAUUAUAUAACUUAUAAAAAUUUCGGUGACCAGCCAGAUAUUCGCUGUCCAAUACCUCGAAGACGUUAUGAUCUCGAUGAUCCUGAUCGAGGAAUGAUUUUCGUUUGCAGUGCAUCUCAUAAGACCAAAUCCAUGUUUUUCUUCCUAGUACAAAGUGAACAGGGCGAUAUAUUCAAAAUUACUCUUGAAGUUGAUGAUGAUAUUGUUACCGAAGUUAAAAUCAAAUAUUUUGACACUGUUCCUGUUGCCACCAGUUUAUGUGUGCUUCGUACUGGAUUCUUGUUUGUUGCUUCAGAAUUUGGCAAUCAUUAUUUGUAUCAAAUUGUUCAUCUUGGUGACAAUGAUAAUGAGCCUGAAUUCAGUAGUUCAAUGCCUUUGAAUGAAGGUGAAACUUUUUAUUUCACACCUCGAAGUUUAAAAAAUUUGGUCCUGGUCGAUGAAACAGAAUCACUGUCACCAAUCAUGCACUGUCAGAUAGCUGAUGUUGCCAACGAAGAAACUCCACAAUUAUUGAUGGCUUGUGGACGUGGACCUCGUUCUACUUUUCGACUAUUGCGUCAUGGUUUGGAAGUGUCUGAGAUGGCUGUUUCAGAAUUACCCGCCAAUCCAAAUGCCGUUUGGACGGUUAAAAAACGUAGCGAAGAUAAAUAUGAUGCCUACAUUAUUGUCUCGUUUGUCAAUGCAACGCUUGUUCUUUCGAUUGGUGAAACUGUUGAAGAAAUUACAGAUUCAGGAUUUCUAGGCUCUACACAAACAAUCAAUUGUGCUCAGAUUGGUGAAGAUGCAUUAGUUCAAGUAUAUCCUGAUGGUAUUCGACAUAUUCGUGCCGAUAAACGUGUGAAUGAAUGGCGUGCACCAGGACGUAAGCAAAUCGUACGCUGUGCCAUAAAUUCCCGUCAAGUGGUAAUUGCAUUAGGCGGAGGAGAAAUCGUUUACUUUGAAAUGGAUCUCGGUGGCCAAUUAAAUGAAUACACAGAACGCAAAGAUAUGAAUUCAGAGGUGAUUUGUAUGGCUUUGGGCGAUGUACCAACUGGUGAACAACGUUGCCGUUUCUUGGCAAUUGGUUUGGCAGACAAUACUGUUCGUAUUAUCUCUUUGGAUCCAUUGGAAUGUUUAACGCCAUUGUCAUUACAAGGUCUUCCAGCCAGACCUGAAUCAUUGUCAAUCGUACAAAUGGGAUUGAUGAAAUCUGAUGAAAAAUCCAAGGGGAAAUUGUACUUAAAUGUUGGCCUUCAGAAUGGAGUUCAUUUGCGUACCGUUUUGGAUGAAAAUAACGGUACACUAUCAGACCCUCAAACUCGUUAUCUCGGUAGUCGUCCCAUUAAAUUGUUUCAAGUUUGUAUGCAAGGCAAAGAAUCAUUGCUUGCAUUGUCCAGCCGUACUUGGCUCUGUUAUUAUUAUCAAAAUCGUUUUCAUUUGACUCCUCUUUCAUAUGAACCAUUGGAAUAUGCUUCUGGUUUUUCUUCUGAACAAUGUCCAGAAGGAAUUGUAGCUAUUUCACACAAUACUUUGCGUAUAUUGGCCUUAGAAAAUCUGGGAAAUGUAUUCAAUCAACAUUUAGUCGAAUUGGAAUAUACGCCAAGAAAAUUUGCCAUACAUCCUGAAACUUAUUACGUUGUAAUGAUUGAAACUGAUCAUAAUGCAUUGACACCAGCUUCAAAAACAGUUCGUAAACAACAAUUGGCACAAGAAAUGAUUGAUUCUGCACCUGCUGAUGAGAAACAACAUGUUUCUGAAAUGGCUGCAGCAUUUCUUAAAGAAAAUCUUCCGGAAAAUGUGUUUGGGGCACCUAAACCUGGCCCUGAUACAUGGGCAUCGUUGAUUCGAGUUUUUAAUCCAGUCAAUGGCAAAACACUACAUAAAUUUUCUCUGGAACAAAAUGAAGCCGCAUUUAGUAUGACUUUAUGCCGUUUUACAAACGAUCCCGAAGGAUAUUAUAUUUUAGUUGGUGUUGCAAGUAGAUUACGAUUAUUAGACAGACAACAUUCUGGUUGUGAAAUUCAUACGUAUAAAUUUGAAACCGAUCUUGAACAUUUAACUUUAGUACAUAAAACACCAGUCGAAGAUGUUCCAAGAGCUAUGGCUCAAUUUCAAGGAAAAGUUGUUAUAGGCGUUGGAAAACUUUUACGAAUUUAUGAUCUGGGAAAAAAGAAAUUACUGAAAAAAUGCGAAAACAAAACCAUACAGAAUUUUAUCGUUACCAUCAAUACAAUGGGCAAUCGUAUCUAUGUUUCUGAUGUACAGGAAAGCUAUUACUUUGUUCGGUACAAGCGAUCGGAAAAUCAAUUAAUUGUAUUCGCCGAUGAUGUUUUCCCACGUUGGGUGACCUGUACAUGUAUACUUGAUUAUGAUACGAUUGUUUGUGCUGACAAAUUCGGCAACGUAUCGAUCAUUCGACUACCGGCAGAUGUCAAUGAUGAAAUUGAUGAUGAUCCUACCGGAUUGAAAUCUCUUUGGGAUCGUGGAUGGCUUGGUGGUGCAUCACAAAAAGCGGAAACAAUUUGUAAUUUUCAUAUUGGUGAUCUGGUACUUUCAUUGAACAAAGCAACAUUGAUACCGGGAUUUUCCGAAGCAUUAGUUUAUACGACAAUUUCAGGCGCCGUUGGUGUAUUGGUUCCAUUCACAUCACACGAACAAUUGGAUUUUUUUCAACAUCUUGAAAUGUAUAUGCGUUCGGAAAAUGCACCACUAUGUGGUCGUGAUCAUCUUGCUUAUAGGUCAUUUUAUUUUCCAGUGAAAAAUAUCAUCGAUGGUGAUCUCUGUGAACAAUUCAAUUCAAUGGAUUUUAGCAAACAGAAAAGCAUUGCCGAAGAUUUAGACUUUUCACCAGCAGAGGUGUCGAAAAAAUUGGAGGACAUGAGAACACAAUAUGCAUUCUAAAACAUAGAAUAAUGUUUAAUAAUUGUGACAAUCGCUCCAUACAUUGUCAUUCACGACAAUUACGUACCUAAGAAUUUUCAUUUCUAUUAUUUCAUCGUUUUUUGUAAAUAUUUGAUCAUGAUUUUAUUCGAAUAUCUGAUAAAGAAGAAGAAAUAAUUAUCAAUUUAAUGAUAUUUGUUUAUAUCAAAGAAUUCAAACCAAUCGAAUCGACCAGCAUCAUCAAUGACAGUUUUUUUUAUCUCACUUAUUAUUGUACUAAUAAUCACAAUUGUUUAUUAUGGCAAUGAUUAUUUGGUAUCAAAAAAAAAAAAAAAAAUUCACAAUGUUCAUUAACAUAAUAAAAUUUCUUUUUAUAAAUGAAAUCUAAAUCUCGCCGAUCAUUUAUGUGACGAUAUUUUUUUUUAUUAUUGAUAUCAAGAAUGAUCUGCCAUUCGAUAUAUAGAGAUCAUCGACAUCUGAUAACGAAAAUUCUUUGUGACAGUUUUUUUUUGGCCGAUUAUCUAUAUAAAAAUCAAUCCAGAUAAACUUUUUUUGAUGAUGGAAACAUGUCAAUUUAUACGGAUGCAUUAGCCAUGCAAGUUCUAAUAAACGCCUCAAGCAACUAUUAUUAAUACUUAUUUAAUGUACUCGAAACCGUUCAUAUGCAUGCACAGCAUCUGACAAGAUCAUAUUAGUUUUGAUUAACCGGUUUGAAAUAAAUGAACUAAAUUAGAGAAAAAAAAUUUUAGACAAUUUUUAUCUAACAUUGUUUGUGUGUGUGUGUGUGUAUACGCAUAUCACACAUAUACUUUGUUCGAUCGAUAAUCAUUUGAUCAAUAUUUAAUUCGAUUUAAUUGACUGGAACUGACCAGCCAAAUGCCUGCUAACCCUGAUUUACCGAACUUGAUCAAAUCGAAUGAUUACCCAACAUUGAACAAUACGUCCAUCAAUGAAGUUCCUCAUACAAUCGAAAGAGAAAGGAAAAAACAUCACAGUAGAAAAAAAAAUAUUUAAAAAAAACUUUUCGCUAUCAAUUUUUUUUUCUUUAAAAGCCAUAGACCCAUCUAUUCUUUUUCGAUAUGGAUGGAUGAAUGGAUCGUGUAGCAGACGAAUAAAUAUCGAUGCCGAAUGGCUCCACAUAUCAUGUCUAGUGCCUAUUUUUUGUAUUUUCUUUCGUUUGCUUUAGCCAUGAUCUACAUUCCUUAGCUGGAAUGGCGGUCACCGAUUCAAUCAUUCAAUGAUGGUGAUGAUGAGCUAUCCUUAAUGAUGAUAAUACUAUCUAAUAAAUUCUAAACCUUGUAUGUACCGCUACUUGA